rnacentral:rRNA from 1 species
UGGGGAAUAUUGGACAAUGGGCGCAAGCCUGCUCCAGCCAUGCCGCGUGAGUGAUGAAGGCCCUAGGGUUGUAAAGCUCUUUCACCGGUGAAGAUAAUGACGGUAACCGGAGAAGAAGCCCCGGCUAACUUCGUGCCAGCAGCCGCGGUAAUACGAAGGGGGCUAGCGUUGUUCGGAUUUACUGGGCGUAAAGCGCACGUAGGCGGACUAUUAAGUCAGGGGUGAAAUCCCGGGGCUCAACCCCGGAACUGCCUUUGAUACUGGUAGUCUUGAGUUCGAGAGAGGUGAGUGGAAUUCCGAGUGUAGAGGUGAAAUUCGUAGAUAUUCGGAGGAACACCAGUGGCGAAGGCGGCUCACUGGCUCGAUACUGACGCUGAGGUGCGAAAGCGUGGGGAGCAAACAGG